rnacentral:rRNA from 1 species
UACGAAGGGGGCUAGCGUUGUUCGGAAUCACUGGGCGUAAAGCGUGCGCAGGCGGCUUUGCAAGACAGAUGUGAAAUCCCCGGGCUUAACCUGGGAACUGCAUUUGUGACUGCAUGGCUGGAGUGCGGCAGAGGGGGAUGGAAUUCCGCGUGUAGCAGUGAAAUGCGUAGAUAUGCGGAGGAACACCGAUGGCGAAGGCAAUCCCCUGGGCCUGCACUGACGCUCAUGCACGAAAGCGUGGGGAGCAAACAGG